rnacentral:rRNA from 1 species
UACGGGGGGGGCAAGCGUUGUUCGGAUUCAUUGGGCGUAAAGGGUGCGUAGGUGGCGCGCUAAGUCAGGUGUGAAAUUUCGGAGCUUAACUCCGAAACUGCAUUUGAUACUGGCGUGCUUGAGGACUGGAGAGGAGACUGGAAUUUACGGUGUAGCAGUGAAAUGCGUAGAGAUCGUAAGGAAGACCAGUGGCGAAGGCGGGUCUCUGGACAGUUCCUGACACUGAGGCACGAAGGCCAGGGGAGCAAACGGG